AUGUCUUCAGCUCAGUCUCUGAGAGAGUUUAUAAGAGAGCGGCUAACUGCUGCUGCUGCAGAAAUAUUCUCCGAGUUUGAACAAACCAUCGUCCGCUACGAGGAAGAGAUCGAUCGUCAGCGCAGACUGCUGGAGAUCAGCUGGAAACCACAGAUCAACUUACACAGAAUAGAACUCCCACUGCAUGAUGUCAAGACAGAUGAGGUGGUUCUGACUGAUCAGCAGCUCUGGAACCAGGAGAGGACCUCCAGUUUAAACCAGGAACAACCAGAACCUUUACAGGAGGGACCAGAACCUCCACAGAUGAAAGUGGAGCACGAUGAGCCAGAACCUUUGCAGAUUCUAGAACAAGAGCUCUGCAUCAGUCAGGAUGAAGAGCAAUUUGUACUGAAGCAGGAGAUGGUUACCUCCCUUGUGACUCCUGCUGAUGAGGAAAGAGUCUACCAUGAACCAGAACCAAACAAACACCAGCUCCGUUUGUCACUGUUUCCUGAGGCUGAGAUUAGAGCUGCUGCUUCUCCAGGGUCCACAGAACUGGGCCCAGUGUCUGUCAGAUUCAUUGAUUUAGACUCUUACUGACUUCUGGGAUGGGCACACGGAUACUACAGGUGAGUUUAUAGAGACAUAAACAUCCAGAUGUUCCUCAGAUGCAUCCGUCUCUGAUGAAAACAGGACUGAGAGGUGGAAUCAUUUCCACUUUGAAGUUGCUGACAGCUUUACUUGGCAACGUCCACAAACAGAUCAGACUAACAGAAACUUCUAAACAAGUCUCUGAUUGUAGAACAUCAGUUCCAGGGUUUUCCCCAGCGCUUUAUAAGCCUGGCGGCCUGCCAGGCUUUGCUUGGUCGCCCGCC
rnacentral:lncRNA from 1 species